GAUCGCAAGGACAUGUGGAGCGCUUAGAAGUGAGAAUGCCGGUGUGAGUAGCGAAAGACGGGUGAGAAUCCCGUCCACCGAUUGACUAAGGUUUCCAGAGGAAGGCUCGUCCGCUCUGGGUUAGUCGGGUCCUAAGCUGAGGCCGACAGGCGUAGGCGAUGGAUAACAGGUUGAUAUUCCUGUACCACCUAGUAUCGUUUUAAUCGAUGGGGGGACGCAGUAGGAUAGGCGAAGCGUGCUGUUGGAGUGCACGUCCAAGCAGUAAGGCUGAGUGUUAGGCAAAUCCGGCACUCAUAAGGCUGAGCUGUGAUGGGGAGAGGAAAUUGUUUCCUCGAGUCGUUGAUUUCACACUGCCGAGAAAAGCCUCUAGAUAGAUAACAGGUGCCCGUACCGCAAACCGACACAGGUAGUCAAGAUGAGAAUUCUAAGGUGAGCGAGCGAACUCUCGUUAAGGAACUCGGCAAAAUGACCCCGUAACUUCGGGAGAAGGGGUGCUCUUUAGGGUUCACGCCCAGAAGAGCCGCAGUGAAUAGGCCCAAGCGACUGUUUAUCAAAAACACAGGUCUCUGCUAAACCGUAAGGUGAUGUAUAGGGGCUGACGCCUGCCCGGUGCUGGAAGGUUAAGAGGAGUGGUUAGCUUCUGCGAAGCUACGAAUCAAAGCCCCAGUAAACGGCGGCCGUAACUAUAACGGUCCUAAGGUAGCGAAAUUCCUUGUCGGGUAAGUUCCGACCCGCACGAAAGGCGUAACGAUUUGGGCACUGUCUCAACGAGAGACUCGGUGAAAUCAUAGUACCUGUGAAGAUGCAGGUUACCCGCGACAGGACGGAAAGACCCCGUGGAGCUUUACUGUAGCCUGAUAUUGAAAUUCGGCACAGCUUGUACAGGAUAGGUAGGAGCCUUUGAAACGUGAGCGCUAGCUUACGUGGAGGCGUUGGUGGGAUACUACCCUAGCUGUGUUGGCUUUCUAACCCGCACCACUUAUCGUGGUGGGAGACAGUGUCAGGCGGGCAGUUUGACUGGGGCGGUCGCCUCCUAAAAGGUAACGGAGGCGCUCAAAGGUUCCCUCAGAAUGGUUGGAAAUCAUUCAUAGAGUGUAAAGGCAUAAGGGAGCUUGACUGCGAGACCUACAAGUCGAGCAGGGUCGAAAGACGGACUUAGUGAUCCGGUGGUUCCGCAUGGAAGGGCCAUCGCUCAACGGAUAAAAGCUACCCCGGGGAUAACAGGCUUAUCUCCCCCAAGAGUUCACAUCGACGGGGAGGUUUGGCACCUCGAUGUCGGCUCAUCGCAUCCUGGGGCUGUAGUCGGUCCCAAGGGUUGGGCUGUUCGCCCAUUAAAGCGGUACGCGAGCUGGGUUCAGAACGUCGUGAGACAGUUCGGUCCCUAU
rnacentral:rRNA from 3 species